GACGAACGCUGGCGGCGCGCCUAACACAUGCAAGUCGAACGGUGACGAGAGCUUCGGCUCUCUGAUCAGUGGCGGACGGGUGAGUAACACGUGAGCAACCUGCCUAUCAGAGGGGGACAACAGUUGGAAACGACUGCUAAUACCGCAUAACGUGCACGGAAGGCAUCUUCUGUGCACCAAAGAUUUAUCGCUGAUAGAUGGGCUCGCGUCUGAUUAGAUAGUUGGCGGGGUAACGGCCCACCAAGUCGACGAUCAGUAGCCGGACUGAGAGGGUUGAACGGCCACAUUGGGACUGAGACACGGCCCAG
rnacentral:rRNA from 1 species